AAGUAUGAAGCAAUAAUUUGUAUCUAGUUUCGACCUAGGAGAAUGACAAUAUAGUCCUUACUUA
rnacentral:tRNA from 1 species